UACAGAGGUCCCGAGCGUUGUUCGGAUUCACUGGGCGUAAAGGGUGCGUAGGUGGUUGGGUAAGUCUGAUGUGAAAUCUCCGGGCUCAACCCGGAAAUGGCAUUGGAUACUAUUCGGCUAGAGGGUUGGAGGGGGGACUGGAAUUCUCGGUGUAGCAGUGAAAUGCGUAGAUAUCGAGAGGAACACCAGUGGCGAAGGCGAGUCCCUGGACAACACCUGACACUGAGGCACGAAAGCUAGGGGAGCAAACAGG
rnacentral:rRNA from 1 species